rnacentral:rRNA from 1 species
UACGUAGGGUGCGAGCGUUAAUCGGAAUUACUGGGCGUAAAGCGUGCGCAGGCGGCUUUGUAAGCCAGAUGUGAAAUCCCCCGGCUUAACCAGGGAACUGCGUCUGAUACUGGAUGGCUUGAGAUUGGGAGAGGGAUGCGGAAUUCCAGGUGUAGCGGUGAAAUGCGUAGAUAUCUGGAGGAACACCGGUGGCGAAGGCGGCAUCCUGGACCAACACUGACGCUGAUGAGCGAAAGCCAGGGGAGCAAACGGG